rnacentral:lncRNA from 1 species
AAAAGACAAAGCCAAUCAAGGUGCACUCAGUGGGUUGAAAGAUGCUUCAGAUUUUUUAUUUUCAAAUAUCACCCUUGUACACAAUACAAAUCGUGUGGCAAGGCAUUAUGUUUGUUUUCCUUGAUUCCGAAUCAUAUAGACGCUUCAAUGCAAAAAUGCCUUGAUUUAAAACGCUUGUUGACUACAGCAUCGGAAAGGUAUGACAAAAAACCAACGCACGUUUACUGCAGCAUCGAAAAGAUAUCACCAAAAACCAACAUAGCAAAAAAAAAUUUGGACAAGAAUGGUCAUUAAAUUUUUUCGAGUCGCGGCGAUUUUAUCCGGGUCGGUCAUGGGAGGGGAAACAAACAAUAUUUUAUGUUUGGCC